rfam:Tropheryma whipplei str. Twist, complete genome.
UCCGCUUUGGUGUAACGGCAGCACAGCAGCCUUUGGAGCUGUUGGUCUAGGUUCGAAUCCUAGAGGCGGAG